rnacentral:lncRNA from 10 species
AAGUCAGGAAACAACAGGUGCUGGAGAGGAUGUGGAGAAAUAGGAACACUUUGGUGCAGCACACCAACAUGGCACAUGUAUACAUAUGUAACAAACCUGCACAUUGUGCACAUGUACCCUAAAAUUUAAAGUAUAAUAAUAAUAAAAUUUAAAAAAAAAGAAAAGAAAAUACUACAGUGAUGACAGUGAACCCAGAAAAAAACAUGAUGGUGAACCCAGAGAAAAGAUGACAGUGAACCCAGAGAAAAAAGGAUGGUUAACUCAAAGAAAAGACAAAGGUGAACCCAGAGAAAAUACAACAGUGAACCAUUGAAAAGACAACAGUGCACCCAGCUCACCAUUCAGUACUCAGCCUGAAUAUGGUUCAGUAUAUGCAGUUGGGUUAAAUGGUGAUUUAACCCAACUGCAUAUACACACCAAGUAUUCAGUACUGAGCCACCAUUUAACCCAACUGCAUAUACACCUAGAACAAGGAAAUACAUACAGCAUCUUCCACCAUGCAGCCAACAGAGAGACAGACACUUUGAAGCCAGCACA